GUUGUGUGUUGAGUGGUUGCUUCCAAUUUUGUUCGUCAAAGGCGAGUACAAAAUUGAGAACUCCUGGCUUGCGGAGGAGUAGUCCUUCGACUUCGCUCAGGAUGCUCAAAAUUGUAAUUUCGCUUCGCUCAAACAAUUUUGGCAGAGGAAAGUCCGAACACCCUUUAAAAUUUAUUUUAAAGAAGCAAGCGAUGGAUAACGUCCAUCGGUCGCGUGGUAACACGCGAUUAGGGAAAGUGUCACAGAGACAAUACUAGCCCCGCAAUUGCGGGGUAAAAGGUGAAAAGUCUGCGAGUGUCUUUUAUGUCCCUUUGGGGCUCAUCGGACUAUCGCAGUUCGCAAUAAAGCAAUUUAUUGCUGAUGGCAAACCCCGCUUGGUGCAAGGCCGUACUUCCCGAUUUAUCGGGAUUUGUGCCGCUUGAUCCCGCAGAGUAAUUUGCGGGGCAGAUAAAUGACCGCAUAAAACAGAAUUCGGCUUACGGACGCGCAAUCGAA
rnacentral:RNase_P_RNA from 2 species